rnacentral:rRNA from 1 species
GAUGAACGCUAGCUACAGGCUUAACACAUGCAAGUCGAGGGGAAACGAUAUUAGAAGCUUGCUUCCGAUAGGCGUCGACCGGCGCACGGGUGAGUAACGCGUAUCCAACCUGCCCACCACUUGGGGAUAACCUUGCGAAAGUAAGACUAAUACCCAAUGAUAUCUCAAGAAGACAUCUGAAUGAGAUUAAAGAUUUAUCGGUGAUGGAUGGGGAUGCGUCUGAUUAGCGUGUUGGCGGGGUAACGGCCCAACAAGGCGACGAUCAGUAGGGGGUCUGAGAGGAAGGUGCCCCACAUUGGAACUGAGACACGGUCCAAACUCCUACGGGAGGCAGCAGUGAGGAAUAUUGGUCAAUGGGCGAGAGCCUGAACCAGCCAAGUAGCGUGCAGGAUGACGGCCCUAUGGGUUGUAAACUGCUUUUAUAAGGGAAUAAAGUGAGCCUCGUGAGGCUUUUUGCAUGUACCUUAUGAAUAAGGACCGGCUAAUUCCGUGCCAGCCGCCGCAGUAA